AAACCACCAGUAAUAUUCUGUCUUUAAAUUUGAAAAAAAAUCAUUGAUGUGAUACAUCAUUACGUGUGUGCGCGUGCGUGCGUGUGUGUGACCACUGGGCAGUCCAUACCCAACUUAACACGCAAAUAACACGCAAUUCCUGCCUCAACCUGCAUAUUAAGGCUGUCUACAUGACAGUUCAUAAUUUGUCGUCCAUUUUAAUGCAGACAAGAACAGUGUAGACCGAAACACAUAUACACUCACUACACUGACACACAGGUGUCGCUUUCCAGUGGGAUGAAUCUGCAGAUGCAGCCUCACCGCAGUUGGCGUGCAGCGGCUGACGUCAGGAGGAGAGCGCAGAGAGAGAGAGCGGUUGAAAUAGGGCAGAGCAGGAGCGCAGCGCUGAGAGGAGACCAGCCGGAGAAUGGCAAGCCGCUGCUGAGAGUUGGGACGCAUUUACCCGUCGCUACUAACGCAGCUGCUCCUGACACAUUUACUCCCCGAAAUUAGAACUAUAAAGUCGUUGAGGGCCCAGCGAGACGAGAAGAAGAACUGUGGAACUAAAAGAAAGAAAAAAAAAGAGAGAGAACGCAGUUUGGACGCGUUGUAGCGAGGAAUUCUGUGGCAACAUUCGCUCGAAUUUCCCCGUCAUUUAGCCCCAGAAUAACACAGGUAGAGACUCAUGGGAAGCCUGGCUGUUUGGGCUGUGGCGGUGGUCACUCUGCUGGGAACGUCAGGGUCCUGGCUGGCUGAAGGGCACAAAGGCAGCAAGCGUAACGGCAUGGAUAGAGGCGGAACGUCACAUAACUCCUCCAAGAAACCACAUUUCAUGGAGAAGGAGGAAGCAGACGGGAACAUCGAUCAAUCCGUUUCCAACCCGGACGAAGAUCCCUGUCAGAGGACCUACUGCGGACGAGGUCGGCAGUGUGUAGUGAUGGCAGAUACCGGCCGCGCCGAGUGUGUCUGUCAGGAGAAAUGUCGACCCUCAUUUGUGCCGGUGUGUGGCUCCGAUGGCAGGUUCUAUGAGAACCACUGCGAGGUUUACCGCACCGCCUGCCUAGAGAGGAGACGGAUCUAUGUGGUGCACAGCAAGGACUGCUUCUUCAGAGUCAAUGCCUGCACCAUGGCGGAGUACAACCGACUGAAGAGCAUGCUGCUGGAAAUGCAGCCCAAGGAGCUGAAGCCCGGAGAGGAGAACCGGCAGAAAGACAUGGACGAAAAGAGAGCAAGAGUGGACGCCAUGUUCAAACACCUGGAUGAAAACCAAGAUGGCCGACUGGUCAGCGAUGAACUGGAAAAGGUUCCACUGAAGGAGCACCUUGACGACAGCUUGUUGGAGUGCACCAUGCAGGACUUGCUGCGCUACGACGACUACAACAACGACGGACACCUCAGCCUGCAUGAGUUCUACACAGCAUUCCAGGUUGUCCAGCUGACCCUGGCGGAGGACCAAAGGAUCAGCACCUCCACCGUAACGGUGGGUCUGAGUGCUGUUCUUACCUGUGCCAUUCAGGGAACGCUGCGUCCCCCCAUCAUCUGGAAAAGGAAUGGCAUCAUAUUAAACUUCUUGGACCUUGAAGAUAUCAACGACUUUGGGGAUGACGGCUCCUUGUACAUUACCAAGGUGACAACCAUCCAUAUGGGAAACUACAGUUGCCAUGCCUACGGCUAUGAAGACGUCUAUCAGACACAUGUGCUGCAGGUGAAUGUUCCUCCAGUGAUCCUGGUCUAUCCGGAGACGCAGGCUCAAGAACCCGGUGUGUCUGCCAGUCUUCACUGCCAUGCCGACGGCAUCCCAAAUCCGAAACUCCUGUGGCUGAAGAAUGGCAUGGACUUACAGCCGAGAUCCAGCAAACAGCUCUCUCUCAUAGCUAAUGGCAGUGAGCUCCUCAUCGGUAGCGUUCGGUACGAGGACACCGGCGCCUACACGUGCAUAGCCAAGAACGAGGUGGGAGUUGAUGAGGACAUUUCCUCGCUGUUUGUGGAAGACUCGGCCAAGAAAACACUGGCCAACAUCCUCUGGAGGGAAGAAGGACUGAGCGUGGGCAACAUGUUCUACGUGUUCUCCGACGAGGGCAUCACUGUUCUCCAGCCCAGUGAAUGUGAGAUACGGAGACACAUAAAGCAAACGGAGAGGAUUGUCGCUACUUAUGAGGAGAUGUGCCCUAAAGGUGAAGGGGUGUCACCCCAGCACUGCGUGUGGUCGUCAGCGGUCAACGUCCGGGACAAAUACAUCUAUGUGACUCAGCCGCUCCAGAGUCGCCUGCUGGUGGUUGAUAUUCAGGCACAGAAGGUGGUGCAGGCAGUAGCAACUAAUCCUUUUCCAGUGAAGCUGCUCUACGAUAAAUCACAUGAUCAGGUCUGGGUCUUAUCGUGGGGGGAUAUGGACAGAACACACCCAGUACUACAGGUUAUUCCUCAAGCCAGUGUGGGCGAAGUACAUCGUGCGGUACGCACAACUUUCCAGAGAGUCAGUGACUUCUUCAUUCCUCCCACCAACCUGAUCAUCACUCACGUGAGGUUUGCGUUUGUCUUCCUCAAAAAUGAACCGGCGGUGCACAAGAUUGACCUGGAGACUCUCCACCGCGUAAAGACCAUCAGCCUGAAGAACCACAGCUGCGUACCAGUCAACAUGGCCUACACGCAUCUCAGCGGCUUCUACUUUAUCCAGUGCCAGAGCAAGAGCCGCCUACACGCCCCGCCGCAGCUUCUCAUAGACAGCGUAACAGACGUCGUGAUUGGCCCCAACCUGAACAUCACAGGGCAGUCUUUUGUGUCACCGGACGGCCGUUACAUCGUCACGUCUGACCCGCUGAGCUCCAGGCUGAUCGUUCAGACUGUGUCGUUUCAGGGCGAACUGGGUUUAGACCAGAUGAUGGACCAGCCUGUGGAUGUCUCCGACCUGGUUUUCCAGCCUUCCUUCACAGAGUCUUACCAGCACUUGGUGGUGGCCACUUCUUCUUCAGGCACGGACCUGUUAUUUGCCGACCUGUCCUCGGGCCAAACUGAGGUUCUCCAGAGCCUGAAGGAGCCCCUGUCCACCCAAGCCUGGCCCUGGGGUGGCCCCAAGAGAGUGGUGGUUACCAGUGGGUUGUUCGGACAGUAUCUGGUGACGCCAUCAGCCGAGUCGCUUUUCGUCCUGAACGGCAAACAGAGAAUGCCACACUGCGAGCUGUCAGAUAUCAAAAGAGGGAACACAGUAGUCUGGGUUGGUGAGGUAUGAGUCGGGAGAAAAGCGGUUGACAUGGGAUGAGGAAAAGGUAACAAAGAAGGAGAGAUCGGGCCCAUAAUUUAUCGUAAAGAUUUAUAUGAAAAAGAAGUUGCGGACUCCACCCUGGGACUGAGCAGGAGACGAGGAAAAAACCUGGGUUAUUGUAACAAAAGUACACCUAAAAUUAGAGUAACUGAGAAAAUGUAAGAAACUCUGUUGUGAUAUCGCUAUUGGGAGAAAGUGUCAAUGCCGUCCAGUGCAACAGUGAUCUACGUGCACUUAACUAUGAAGAAUUGUACAUUAUUGCACUUCCUUCCGUUAUCACAGCAAGUAGGUACCUGACGAGGGGGUUAUUAUGAACUAUGCACAAUGCUCACUUUUUUAGAGUAAAAGCUUUCCAGUUUCUUUUUUUUUUUUUUGUUCAUUUCAAAAAUGUUCGUCGUUUUCACCAGUGCUGCAUAUAAUCACCACAAACUGUCCUGUCCCGUCUGCCUUUAGUGUAUGUGUGUGUUGAGUCUUUAUGAGAAGCUACCGAACCAUCUGUUUGUCACGGUGUGUGUUGUACCUGGAUGUCCCGCUGAAAGAUUCCCUCCUCUUUCUUCUCCUCCUCCUCCUUCACCAGCAGGGGCUGGCUUUAUGCACAUGUGUAGUACUCUCUGUUUACAGUGUCUUUCCAAAGAGCCCAAUUGGUCCAUUAGCCGUCAACUGCGGUUGUUUCGCCAGCAGUGGUGGUCUACCUAGAAAUGAGCUCUAUACAUCUUGCAGUUUCGUCGCAAUGGUAUAAUCUGUCCCACGCUGUCUCUCGCAGUUAUUCUGUGCCUGCAGCACAACUCUGUGCUGUGAAGCCUGAAAAUGCCACUUAGCAGAUUCCCUCAGGGUAAUGACUUUGGUUUAUGCUGACCCACAUUCUUUGGCCGUGCCAAUGUGGUGCAACGCCGCUAUCUGACUGGCUGUGAGCAUUCAUGUGUCUGCAGUAAAAGAUGAAUAUCAGGAUAAAAUCCGAAGGUCAGACCUGGGGGCCAAAAACGGCCCGUUCAGCUUUCUAAUCUGGCGCACCAAACACUGGUACAAGGUAUGGUAAAGACUGAUGUCAAUUCUCAUUCGUUUCAAUGAAUCAACUAUCAUUUCUGUUGUUGCCGCUAAAUGGCGGCAGACGUUAAACAUGUCACAUUAUUUUUAAAUGUUUUACGUUUAUUCUUGUACAUUUUACAAACCAAUACUAAACGGGCCUACCAGUCAAAUUUUAAACCUCAAUUUGGCCCCUGAGCCAAAAGGUUUGCUGACCGCUGAUCGAGACGAUGGUGUGUAUCAUCUUGACCUGAAAUGCCCUCAUACUUUACGGUAUAUAUAUCAACUCCAUUAAUGCUCACAGCCUGGUAGAUUCCGACGUUGUUGUUUUUUUUUUUUAUUGGCAGGUCAAUAUCUGACGAUAUUAAACUUUUUUUCUGACAUUCUAGUCCACCCACAGACCACAGAGGCCAAAGUCCAACCGAGUAAUGUGUACGAAAGUGUGUUUGGUUUUGGGGAAAAAAAGUUUCUUGUGAAAACAACUGGGAUCUUGUGAAUGGAGAAUAUUUGCCCACAUCCCCGCCCCCUAGAAACAAACAGCCGUCCAAAUCAAAUAUUAAUCAAUUUCUCCUGAUAGGUAGCUAUGCCUGUAACUCCCUGAUGCAAUGUGUAGUGUAGAAACACAAGCUUUGUAGGAAAAAGACAAAAGAAAACACAGAAGUGGCGUCAACAUGUUAUACUAGUGUGUGAUUUAGGUAUUUGCUGCUAAUCUGCCAUGAACCUCAUUCUGACAUGAAAUUCUGUUUGAUUGGUUUUGUGAAGGCAAUGAUUUUGUGAUGUUGACCAUCUUUCUUAGACCACUGUUGCACUGACGAGAGAAGUAUAAUUUUCGACAUUUAUUUAUUUUACACAUUUUUUUGUGGUGGAAAAAUGUGUCUAGAUAUUCAGGUUUCGAUGCUACCAGUUACUACCGGUCCUAUCAAAUUGACUUCUUGACAAGUAAUUUACAGUAUUCAAAGAAAUGCAUGUAGCGAGCAGACCUCCACCACCUUCACCACCACCAAACUUACUGUUGACCUGAUCUGUCUGCCGGACCCCACAGUUACAGAUUGCAGUUGGUUGUGAAUUAUUUUUUUCUUAUUUUUGCCCCGUUCAUCAUCAGUGUCUGUUAGCUUAUCUCCUAAGGCCAAUUCACUGAUGCCGCGUUGCAACACGAAACAAAGAAACUGCACCUGUGUUUGCUGGUAGAACUUCAUGCUAUGGCUAGCUCACGUUGUUUGUUUGGAUCUGCCUUCCUCGUUUCACGACUCUUUCAGUACCUCUCCUCAACCCUCCCAGUAAGGGGCUGCAGAGCUGAACAGCUUGGUGUGAUAGACAUUCAUUGGAACCACUGUUGUAGAUAACAUUGUUCAUUGUAUAAAAACCGGUUCCUACAUGACAAAACUGACUGUACAGUUUUCUUUAUGCAUUUUGUGUGUUCUGGUUUAAUGAGGGAAUUGUUUUGUAAUAAAAACAAAUAUAUAAUUAAAUAUAUUGUAAAAACCUUACAUUUUUUUUCUGCAGUCUUGAAGUGAACCGAAUUGAAUUAGAAACUUUGAUAAUAAUUUGUUGAGUUAUUAUCAAACUUAGAAGAGGCCUGAUAAAUGCUAGCUAAAAGAGCUAGCUGUGACUGCGUAAAGUAAAGACGGCUCUCAUUUGACCAGAAGGUUGUGGGUCUGAAUAAAUAGGCUUGACCAGGACAAUGUCACUUCCCAGUUUUAGCCAAUGCUGAGUUGACCCUCACUACACUGAUGGUUGAUGUUCAACAUGCUUUAACGAUCCAUGACCAUUACACCGCACCACAAAGAGACACUGUCAAUAACCUUCCAGUGCUUGUCAGGCUUAAGGAACAGGGUGAAUGAGUAAAUAUUGAUAUUUACUCAUUCACCCUUUUCCUUAAACACUAACACCAACAGAGCCGAAAAAACAUGACUGAACACAGACGAUUCAAGGGAUCAACCAAUCACAGUCUCGAUUCAGGUUUGAUUUAGUGUACCUUAGCCAGCUUUAGCUUUCGAUGCACUGUCUUAGCACCAUUCUCCAAUAUUGACAAAUCAUAUUACAGCCUCCAAAAAUGUAUAUUUUUGCCAG